rnacentral:rRNA from 1 species
CAGCAGCCGCGGUAAUACGAAGGGGGCUAGCGUUGUUCGGAAUUACUGGGCGUAAAGGGCGCGUAGGCGGCCAUUCAAGUUAGAUGUGAAAGCCCUGGGCUCAACCUAGGAAUUGCAUUUGAUACUGUUUGGCUUGAGUUCGGGAGAGGUGAGUGGAAUUCCCAGUGUAGAGGUGAAAUUCGUAGAUAUUGGGAAGAACACCAGUGGCGAAGGCGGCUCACUGGACCGACACUGACGCUGAGGCGCGAAAGCGUGGGGAGCAAACAGGAUUAGAUACCCCAGUAGUCCCUGUCUCUUAUAC